GUGCCAGCAGCCGCGGUAAUACGUAGGUGCAAGCGUUGCUCGGAAUUACUGGGUGUAAAGGGUUCGUAGGCGGUGUGGCAAGUCGGGAGUGAAAUCUCUGGGCUUAACCCAGAGGCUGCUUCCAAAACUGCUGUGCUCGAGUGUGAGAGAGGCUCGUGGAAUUGCAGGUGUAGCGGUGAAAUGCGUAGAUAUCUGCAGGAACACCCGUGGCGAAAGCGGCGCGCUGGACCACUACUGACGCUGAGGAACGAAAGCUAGGGGAGCAAACAGGAUUAGAUACCCUGGUAGUCC
rnacentral:rRNA from 1 species